rnacentral:misc_RNA from 1 species
GAAAGGAAGAAGAAAGAGCACCGAGCUGACUAAAUUUAAGGUAUAAAAGAUCGAUGGCAAUUCAAGGCAAUAGAACCUCUGAUGAAUCUUUUUUCAAGAUUCCUGCCAUAAAGUUUACAAAGCUGUUCAUUAAUGGAGAAUUUGUUGAUUCCAUCUCAGGAAAAACGUUUGAGACAAUAGACCCAAGAACAGGAGAGGUAAUCGCAAGAAUUGCAGAGGGAGAUAAGGCUGACAUAGAUUUGGCUGUGAAGGCUGCUCGCGAUGCAUUUGACAACGGCCCUUGGCCCCGCUUGCCUGGUGUUGCGAGAGCAAGGAUUAUGCAGAAAUUUGCAGAUUUAAUUGAAGAAAACGUAGAGGAAUUGGCAGCACUGGAUACUAUUGAUGCAGGGAAGUUGUUCAGUGCGGGCAAAGCUGUGGACAUUCCUCACGCAGCAAGCCUCCUUCGUUACUAUGCAGGUGCAGCAGAUAAAAUCCAUGGAGAAGUGUUGAAGAUGUCAAGGGAGUUCCAAGGCUAUACCCUGCUUGAACCCGUUGGUGUUGUGGGCCAUAUCACCCCCUGGAAUUUCCCUAGUACCAUUUUCUUCAUGAAGGUCGCCCCUGCCUUGGCUGCUGGGUGCACCAUGGUUGUCAAGCCAGCGGAGCAAACACCUCUUUCUGCUCUCUAUUAUGCUCAUCUCUCCAAGCUGGCUGGGAUUCCUGAUGGAGUGAUCAAUGUUGUGACUGGGUACGGACCGACAGCUGGAG